CCCGGAGGAAGUUAGCUGCCCGCCGCUCCCCGCUCCUCGCCCCUUCCCCUUCUAGCCCCCGAGGUCCGUGAGAGGAACCGGGACAACUGGUGUGGUUCGGGACCGCCCGCGCUCAGCCCGGUGCUGCGCUGGGACCCAGAAGUUGCGAAGGAAAGGACCUCGGGCUUGUCCUGAGCCCCUAUGGCCCGAGGUGCUCCUGGCCUAGCUAGGGGCAUCUACACUGGGAAGAUGACUUUACCGUGGGCCUUCGCUCUCAAGCGAAAGCGCUCUUGUGGCCCUUGUAAACCGGUGCAUCCAACGGUCUACAGGUCCAGCUGCUGCCACUGGCAGUAAUCGAAGACUUCAGCAGACGCAAAAUCAAGUAGAUGAGGUGGUGGACAUAAUGCGAGUUAACGUGGACAAGGUUCUGGAAAGAGACCAGAAGCUCUCCGAGUUAGACGACCGUGCAGACGCACUGCAGGCAGGUGCUUCUCAAUUUGAAACAAGCGCAGCCAAGUUGAAGAGAAAAUACUGGUGGAAGAAUUGCAAGAUGUGGGCAAUAGGGAUUACUGUUCUGGUUAUCUUCAUCGUCAUCAUCAUCGUGUGGGUUGUCUCUUCAUGAAGAAGCAGUGGAACUCUAACCUGCUGUUCAAGAAACCUCUUCAAGACUUUUGACUUAGAACCUACUAUAUUAUCAAGCUUACCUACUGCUAUCUCUAAAGUGAUUAUUUUGUGUUAAUGUAAAGUUGAAUUUUUAGGAAAUGUGCCUUUGUUUUUUUUAAUACUAUGCACUCCAAAUUAGAAGUAAGGCCGGCCCCGUCCACGUUUUGCACAGUGUCUUUACCGAUUUACAUAUGGGCUGAUGAAGAGGCCUUCUGAAGUUCCAGAGUGCUAUCAUCUAGAUGUAAUGUUGUCACCGAUUAAUUGCCAUUGCUCCCAGUUACUUAGCCUUGUCAUUCAGCAUUAUUUUUAGAACUACAUUUUAAACCUUUGGGUAAUCGAUUUCCAACUUGUGCCUUCCAGAAAAAAACACUACUGCCUACCACAAAUCUGUGAUAACAACAGUCUGUGCCUUAUUUUGAUAAGUUUCUGAUUCCCUGUAAGAGAACCCUCUACUUUUUGUAAGCACUACUGACUCUCGCUGUAUUUAAGAUAAGAUGCUGGUGAAGAGCUUUUGCUCUUGCAUUAGAUUUGAAGAUGUUUACGUUCUUGUUACUGUUAUGUAUCACUUGCUAAAAAUAUUGUUUUAAUCAGAAAUAACCUCUUUAAAAAUUUUUAUAGAACUAUGGCUAUGACCAAAGUUUCUAUUUUACCAAAAAGUUAAAUACCGAUAAAAUGGCCUUAAAAGUCUGUUCCUGACAGUUUAAUUAAGAAAUGUGCCAAAUGGAACUUAAGGUGCCCCUUCAGAAUUAAAAUCGUAACCUUGUGUGUGAACCUUCCACAUCUUGACAGGGUUUUCUUCCUUUUGAAAUGCUGUAGACAGUGUGGCUCCCCUUCUGAUUCAGUAUUUUGCAGGGGGGGUUAGAGAAGGCUUGAGGUAGACUCUGACCAUCUCAUUCCUAUAGACAAAAGAGUUUAACCCAGCAGUUGGCAGAUUAUCAGCUGUGGACUCCAACAUGUUUCUAAUAAUUAUACGACCAACAAUUCUGUAGCCUUCAAGUAAGACCACCUGUGAACUUGAUCAUUACCUGGCCCAGAUAGGACGAUAAACUGUAGCUUUUUGGAGUUUCCUAUUUUUAUUCACAUUCUGCUUCCUAAAUCAGUCUUCUAAAUGAUGCUUGCAAUUAGGCAUUGGUCAGGGGUGGAUGGCUCUUCACAGAGAGCAGCCAACCAGAGACCUUGUUUUGAUAUCAACAACUGCAGAGGAUGCUGCUGUGGAAGGAACUGUUGUCAUCAGAGAAACUUUGUCAUCAGAGAGACUUUUCGUGUAUGCAUGAGACUUUCAACAUCUGGAUACACAGCUUAAAGAUGGAAUUCAAGUAUGAAAGAAAACAGGCAAGGAGGCACUGAGGGAGAAGGACACAGACUUGAACGCUCUGUGGCUCGUUACUGGAAUAUUCUAAAAUUAUUGUUCACAUGCUAUUAUGACUUACAAAGCAGGAAUAGCUGAGGUGCACCAGGACACGGGUUUCACUUCUUUACUGUCUGUUCCCUUAACAUCACUGAGUGAUUUGUUGUUGAAGACAGCCUUGCAGUAUGGCCAGCUGUGAGGACAAAGCAGCUGUUUGUGUUAGGACAUAGCCCCCCGCCCCCCAAGCACAGGGUCUCUGGCCCCGUCUGACUCUGAAACCUUGGUGCUCACUCCUUGGCUACAGUGCUCAGUCCCAUGUAACCCACUGGCUCCUGCAUUAACCCAGAAAUACCUCGCUUGUAUCUGUGCACUUAGCUGGGAACUUACCCACUGUCAUGACCUGAAUAAAGUGUUUAUAAACAUG